AUUGAACGCUGGCGGCAGGCCUAACACAUGCAAGUCGAGCGGAUGAAGGGAGCUUGCUCCUGGAUUCAGCGGCGGACGGGUGAGUAAUGCCUAGGAAUCUGCCUGGUAGUGGGGGAUAACGUCCGGAAACGGGCGCUAAUACCGCCUACGUCCUGAGGGAGAAAGUGGGGGAUCUUCGGACCUCACGCUAUCAGAUGAGCCUAGGUCGGAUUAGCUAGUUGGUGGGGUAAAGGCCUACCAAGGCGACGAUCCGUAACUGGUCUGAGAGGAUGAUCAGUCACACUGGAACUGGGACACGGUCCAGACUCCUACGGGAGGCAGCAGUGGGGAAUAUUGGACAAUGGGCGAAAGCCUGAUCCAGCCAUGCCGCGUGUGUGAAGAAGGUCUUCGGAUUGUAAAGCACGUUAAGUUGGGAGGAAGGGCAGUAAGUUAAUACCUUGCUGUUUUGACGUUACCAACAGAAUAAGCACCGGCUAACUUCGUG
rnacentral:rRNA from 1 species